rnacentral:misc_RNA from 1 species
GAAUGUGCGGUGAGGGCGUAAGCCUAAGCCUGCCAAUCCACCCUUGUGCAAUGUACCGUACCCUGGUGGGUGGUUCUCUGGCCUAGCUGGGGAACCUCCACCGAAGGGCUUUCGAGCCCGACCAACGCUUUAAUCUUUGUCUGAACUUAAAUGAACCAAAUGAUCUAAACAACUUUUGACAACGGAUCUCUUGGCUCU